rnacentral:rRNA from 1 species
UAUGUGAUCGUCUCUCGCAUAUCAAUAAGCGGAGGAAAAGAAACUAACAAGGAUUCCCCUAGUAACGGCGAGUGAAGCGGGAAGAGCUCAAAUUUGAAAUCUUAAAGGGUUUCCCUUUACGAAUUGUAGUUUAAAGAAGUGUUUUCUGUUGAGGUUUUGGUAAAAGUUCUUUGGAAUAGGACAUCAUAGAGGGUGAGAAUCCCGUAUUUGACCUUUACUUUCAACUUUGUGAUACACUUUCAAAGAGUCGGAUUGUUUGGGAAUGCAGUCCAAAAUGGGUGGUAAAUUUCAUCUAAAGCUAAAUAUUGGCGAGAGACCGAUAGCGAACAAGUACCGUGAGGGAAAGAUGAAAAGAACUUUGAAAAGAGAGUUAAACAGUACGUGAAAUUGUCAAAAGGGAAGCGUUUGACACCAGUGUUGUUUUUCUGAAAAUCAAUUAAAGAACUGUUUAUGCUAAGUUGUUUAGACUUUAUCAGCUAACUGUUUAGUUUUGAGCUUUUCUUUAAUGCACUUUUCAGUUAACAAGUCAACAUCAAUUUCUUUUGCUGUAAAAAAGCUUGAGGAAGGUGGCUUGAGAUUCGUCUUAGGUGUUUAUAGCCUCUUGCCUAUGCAGUCGGAGAGAUUGAGGUCUGCAGCGUAGAUCCUUCGGGGCUAAAUGCAUUUGUGCUAAGUUAUAGCAUUUUAUAGACAACUUGUUGACUAUGAUUUGUCUUGUAGCUUACUCGCUUAUGUUAUUUUACCUACGCUUAGGAUGUUGAUCUACAGAGCGAGAGU